CUUGGUCAUUUAGAGGAGUAAAAGUCGUAACAAGGUUUCCGUAGGUGAACCUGCGGAAGGAUCAUUAUCGAAAUUAUUGGUGAGGGUUGUAGCUGGCCUUUCGAGGCAUGUGCACGCUCGAGCCCUUAAUCCACUUUACACCUGUGCACUUAAUGUAGGUCGCCCUUAAAAAAGGUGACCUAUGUCUUAUCAUCAACCCAUCGUAUGUCUCAUAGAAUGUAAUCGAUAUCCUCGCCCUGAAAAAGCGUUGAUAAACUUAUACAACUUUCAACAACGGAUCUCUUGGCUCUCGCAUCGAUGAAGAACGCAGCGAAAUGCGAUAAGUAAUGUGAAUUGCAGAUUUUCAGUGAAUCAUCGAAUCUUUGAACGCACCUUGCGCUCCUUGGUAUUCCGAGGAGCAUGCCUGUUUGAGUGUCAUUAAAUUCUCAACUCCAAGGGUUUCACGACCUUUCGGAGAUUGGACUUGGAGGUGCUGGCCGCAUAUUGGUCGGCUCCUCUCAAAUGCAUCAGCGGAAUUCAACCUUUGGCUUCCGGAUGUCAGUGUGAUAAUCAUGUUGCGCUGUCGUUUGAUCCCUCAGAGUCCGCUUAUAAUGGUCUUCGGACAAAAUCAUCAUCAAAUUUGACCUCAAAUCAGGUAGGACUACCCGCUGAACUUAAGCAUAUCAAUAAGCGGAGGA
rnacentral:rRNA from 1 species